GGCUGGAUCACCUCCUUUUAGGGAGACCUACCCAACUUGCUUGUAAUAAGCACUUCAGUGCUUAAAAACCAACAAGAAGGUCAUCACCUAGGUCGGUCGCAGUGAUGUUAAGGCCUUUCAAACUAUGAUGAGGUUCAAACUCGGGCUAUUAGCUCAGGUGGUUAGAGCGCACCCCUGAUAAGGGUGAGGUCCCUGGUUCGAGUCCAGGAUGGCCCACCUGAAGAAUUUGAGAUUUUAAAUUGUAGAUUUUAGAUUGAAUAUUCAAUCCAAAAUCGCAAAUCAAAAAUCCAAAAUUCAUGAUGGGGGUUUAGCUCAGUUGGUAGAGCGCCUGCUUUGCAAGCAGGAUGUCAGCGGUUCGAGUCCGCUAACCUCCACAUUCUUGCACCAGAAACAAACAAGAAACUCAAAGCAUAGUAUAGCAAGACAAAGCAAAGCAAAAGAUGCAGGAAGAGUCUUGAGUGAAGGUUUGAGACUGUGGAAAGGUAAGAGUUAAAAACAAAGGAAAAGAUUCAGCACCUGAAAGCAAAAAAAUCAGACUGCUGGAUAGUACCAGCCAGAACCUUGAAAACUGCAUAGUAACGCGAUUUUAGCAGGCAGACACA
rnacentral:misc_RNA from 1 species